UUUUAUGGAGAGUUUGAUCCUGGCUCAGGAUGAACGCUGGCGGCGUGCCUAAUACAUGCAAGUCGAGCGAACGGACGAGAAGCUUGCUUCUCUGAUGUUAGCGGCGGACGGGUGAGUAACACGUGGAUAACCUACCUAUAAGACUGGGAUAACUUCGGGAAACCGGAGCUAAUACCGGAUAAUAUUUUGAACCGCAUGGUUCAAAAGUGAAAGACGGUCUUGCUGUCACUUAUAGAUGGAUCCGCGCUGCAUUAGCUAGUUGGUAAGGUAACGGCUUACCAAGGCAACGAUGCAUAGCCGACCUGAGAGGGUGAUCGGCCACACUGGAACUGAGACACGGUCCAGACUCCUACGGGAGGCAGCAGUAGGGAAUCUUCCGCAAUGGGCGAAAGCCUGACGGAGCAACGCCGCGUGAGUGAUGAAGGUCUUCGGAUCGUAAAACUCUGUUAUUAGGGAAGAACAUAUGUGUAAGUAACUGUGCACAUCUUGACGGUACCUAAUCAGAAAGCCAUGGCUAACUACGUGCCAGCAGCCGCGGUAAUACGUAGGUGGCAAGCGUUAUCCGGAAUUAUUGGGCGUAAAGCGCGCGUAGGCGGUUUUUUAAGUCUGAUGUGAAAGCCCACGGCUCAACCGUGGAGGGUCAUUGGAAACUGGAAAACUUGAGUGCAGAAGAGGAAAGUGGAAUUCCAUGUGUAGCGGUGAAAUGCGCAGAGAUAUGGAGGAACACCAGUGGCGAAGGCGACUUUCUGGUCUGUAACUGACGCUGAUGUGCGAAAGCGUGGGGAUCAAACAGGAUUAGAUACCCUGGUAGUCCACGCCGUAAACGAUGAGUGCUAAGUGUUAGGGGGUUUCCGCCCCUUAGUGCUGCAGCUAACGCAUUAAGCACUCCGCCUGGGGAGUACGACCGCAAGGUUGAAACUCAAAGGAAUUGACGGGGACCCGCACAAGCGGUGGAGCAUGUGGUUUAAUUCGAAGCAACGCGAAGAACCUUACCAAAUCUUGACAUCCUUUGAAAACUCUAGAGAUAGAGCCUUCCCCUUCGGGGGACAAAGUGACAGGUGGUGCAUGGUUGUCGUCAGCUCGUGUCGUGAGAUGUUGGGUUAAGUCCCGCAACGAGCGCAACCCUUAAGCUUAGUUGCCAUCAUUAAGUUGGGCACUCUAAGUUGACUGCCGGUGACAAACCGGAGGAAGGUGGGGAUGACGUCAAAUCAUCAUGCCCCUUAUGAUUUGGGCUACACACGUGCUACAAUGGACAAUACAAAGGGCAGCGAAACCGCGAGGUCAAGCAAAUCCCAUAAAGUUGUUCUCAGUUCGGAUUGUAGUCUGCAACUCGACUACAUGAAGCUGGAAUCGCUAGUAAUCGUAGAUCAGCAUGCUACGGUGAAUACGUUCCCGGGUCUUGUACACACCGCCCGUCACACCACGAGAGUUUGUAACACCCGAAGCCGGUGGAGUAACCUUUUAGGAGCUAGCCGUCGAAGGUGGGACAAAUGAUUGGGGUGAAGUCGUAACAAGGUAGCCGUAUCGGAAGGUGCGGCUGGAUCACCUCCUUUCUAA
rnacentral:rRNA from 1 species